GAUGAACGCUAGCGGGAGGCCUAACACAUGCAAGCCGAGCGGUAGAGUUCCUUCGGGAACUUGAGAGCGGCGUACGGGUGCGUAACACGUGUGCAACCUACCUUUAUCUGGGGGAUAGCCUUUCGAAAGGAAGAUUAAUACCCCAUAAUAUAAUGAUUGGCAUCAAUUAUUAUUGAAAACUCCGGUGGAUAGAGAUGGGCACGCGCAAGAUUAGAUAGUUGGUGAGGUAACGGCUCACCAAGUCAAUGAUCUUUAGGGGUCCUGAGAGGGAGAUCCCCCACACUGGUACUGAGACACGGACCAGACUCCUACGGGAGGCAGCAGUGAGGAAUAUUGGACAAUGGGUGAAAGCCUGAUCCAGCCAUCCCGCGUGAAGGAUGACGGUCCUAUGGAUUGUAAACUUCUUUUGUACAGGGAUAAACCUACUCUCGUGAGGGUAGCUGAAGGUACUGUACGAUUAAGCACCGGCUAACUCCGUG
rnacentral:rRNA from 1 species